rnacentral:lncRNA from 1 species
UUUGUUGGCCAAGUCGUAAUCCAGCAGAACGUCGCCAAUGAGAGAUGUGUUGUUUCUUCAAGAAGCAAAGCCGAAGAGCUAGGAAGAUGAUCGGAGAUGAUGUGAUCGUUCUUGGUAAUGUUACUGAUGCUAAAUGCGAAUAUGUUUGUGGUCAAUAUAUUGGGGUGUGAUUGUUGAUAUAUAUCUCUUCGUAUAUGUUGUUUUAUGUGAUUGUAGCUUUUUUUUUUCUUUUUUUGAAGGGUGUUAGGGAGUGAGUAUAUAUGAGUGUACUUCUGCUUUUGUGUAUGAGUGAAAUGUUUUACAUUUUGUUUGGAGAGGAUCAAGUCAAC